rnacentral:rRNA from 1 species
UACGGAGGGUGCAAGCGUUAUCCGGAUUUACUGGGUUUAAAGGGUGCGUAGGCGGGUUGAUAAGUCAGUGGUGAAACCUCCGAGCUUAACUCGGAAACUGCCAUUGAUACUAUCAGUCUUGAAUUCAGUUGAGGUGGGCGGAAUGUGUCGUGUAGCGGUGAAAUGCUUAGAUAUGACACAGAACACCAAUUGCGAAGGCAGCUCGCUAAACUGACAUUGACGCUGAGGCACGAAAGCGUGGGUAGCAAACAGG